rnacentral:lncRNA from 1 species
UUCCAAAGAAUACCUCACUGGUUGUGUCAUAUACAAGAAAAUUUUGAAUUGUUUCCACAAUUAAGACACUGACUCCUAAUCAAGUGUGUUAACCAUGUGUUGGCGAUACAGUGAUGAAUUACACAGACAUUGACUGCAUCAGUUUGAUAUAAAUAAGUAACCCAUGUUACGAUGGAGAACCAUCUCCACUGCAUGCCUGAAAAUAACUCUACAACUCCUUUUAAUAUAUUUAAGCCCAUGAAGCGAUCUGUCAACUGGAUUUUUUUCCUUGGAGACCUCUCCAUCCUCCUGCUCUGAUCUGGAAGCAUUGCUCUCUAAGCCUG